rnacentral:rRNA from 1 species
GACAGUACUCUACAAAACGGUACCGUCAGUACACUCAUUUUUUUUCCUCAAAUCAAGUAGGACUACCCGCUGAACUUAAGCAUAUCAAUAAGCGGAGGAAAAGAAACCAACAGGGAUUGCCUCAGUAACGGCGAGUGAAGCGGCAAAAGCUCAAAUUUGAAAUCCCCCCGGGGAGUUGUAAUUUGAAGAUUGCGUCUUGGAGGCGACCGUGUCUAUGUUCCUUGGAACAGGACGUCACAGAGGGUGAGAAUCCCGUGCGGCACGGCCCCCGGCUCCUUAUAAGGCGCUCUCGACGAGUCGAGUUGUUUGGGAAUGCAGCUCAAAGUGGGUGGUAAAUUCCAUCUAAAGCUAAAUACAGGCGAGAGACCGAUAGCGAACAAGUACAGUGAUGGAAAGAUGAAAAGCACUUUGAAAAGAGAGUGAAACAGCACGUGAAAUUGUUGAAAGGGAAGGGCAUGCCGUCAGAUUGUCAGUGUGGGUAAGAAGCGGGGUACAAAGACUGUGGAACGUGGCCCUCU